rnacentral:rRNA from 1 species
UACGUAGGGGGCAAGCGUUGUCCGGAAUCAUUGGGCGUAAAGCGCGUGUAGGCGGUUCAGUAAGUCUGCUGUGAAAGUCCAGGGCUCAACCCUGGGAUGCCGGUGGAUACUGCUGGACUAGAGUGCGGAAGAGGCGAGUGGAAUUCCCGGUGUAGCGGUGAAAUGCGCAGAUAAUCAGGAGGAACACCGGUGGCGAAGGCGGGUCUCUGGGCAAUAACUGACGCUGAGGAGCGAAAGCGUGGGGAGCGAACAGGA